rnacentral:piRNA from 1 species
GUUUAGUGUGUCUUUUGUGA